AUUGAACGCUGGCGGCAUGCUUUACACAUGCAAGUCGAACGGCAGCGCGGGCUUCGGCCUGGCGGCGAGUGGCGAACGGGUGAGUAAUACAUCGGAACGUGCCCAGUAGUGGGGGAUAGCUCGGCGAAAGCCGGAUUAAUACCGCAUACGACCUGAGGGUGAAAGCGGGGGAUCUUCGGACCUUGCGCUAUUGGAGCGGCCGAUGGCAGAUUAGCUAGUUGGUGGGGUAAAGGCCUACCAAGGCGACGAUCUGUAGCUGGUCUGAGAGGACGACCAGCCACACUGGGACUGAGACACGGCCCAGACUCCUACGGGAGGCAGCAGUGGGGAAUUUUGGACAAUGGGCGAAAGCCUGAUCCAGCAAUGCCGCGUGUGUGAUGAAGGCCUUCGGGUUGUAAAGCACUUUUGGCGGGAACGAAAAGGACUGUGCCAAUACCACGGUUCGAUGACGGUACCCGCAGAAUAAGCACCGGCUAACUACGUG
rnacentral:rRNA from 1 species